UGGGGGAUAUUGCACAAUGGGCGAAAGCCUGAUGCAGCGACGCCGCGUGGGGGAUGAAGGCCUUCGGGUUGUAAACUUCUUUUGCUCUGAACAAGGCAUGCUAAUGGGUGUGUUGAGUGUAGGGGUUGAUUAGCGCCGGCUAACUACGUGCCAGCAGCCGCGGUAAUACGUAGGGCGCGAGCGUUGUCCGGAAUUAUUGGGCGUAAAGGGCUUGUAGGUGGCUGGUUGCGUCUGUCGUGAAAGCUCAUGGCUUAACUGUGGGUUUGCGGUGGGUACCGGCUGGGUUGAGUUCAGUAGGGGAGGCUGGAAUUCCUUGUGUAGCGGUGGAAUGCGCAGAUAUCAGGAGGAAUACCGGUGGCGAAGGCGGGUCUCUGGGCUGUUACUGACACUGAGGAGCGAAAGCAUGGGGAGCGAACAGG
rnacentral:rRNA from 1 species